rnacentral:rRNA from 1 species
AUUGAACGCUGGCGGCAGGCCUAACACAUGCAAGUCGAGCGGAUGAGGGGAGCUUGCUCUCUGAUUUAGCGGCGGACGGGUGAGUAAUGCCUAGGAAUCUGCCUGGUAGUGGGGGAUAACGUUCCGAAAGGAACGCUAAUACCGCAUACGUCCUACGGGAGAAAGCAGGGGACCUUCGGGCCUUGCGCUAUCAGAUGAGCCUAGGUCGGAUUAGCUAGUUGGUGAGGUAAUGGCUCACCAAGGCGACGAUCCGUAACUGGUCUGAGAGGAUGAUCAGUCACACUGGAACUGAGACACGGUCCAGACUCCUACGGGAGGCAGCAGUGGGGAAUAUUGGACAAUGGGCGAAAGCCUGAUCCAGCCAUGCCGCGUGUGUGAAGAAGGUCUUCGGAUUGUAAAGCACUUUAAGUUGGGAGGAAGGGUUGUAGAUUAAUACUCUGCAAUUUUGACGUUACCAACAGAAUAAGCACCGGCUAACUUCGUGCCAGCCGCCGCUGUAAUAC